GGAUCAAUUGAUUGGUCAUGCCUACGGUAUGUACUAGUCAUAUUGGUUCUCACCUUCUAAUGAACCUUAAUGUCAUUCACUUGAUGUUUUGGGGAAUUAGGACUGUUACCUUGAAAAAAUUAGAGUGUUCAAAGCAGGCAUAUGCUCGAAUACAUUAGCAUGGAAUAAUAGAAUAGGACG
rnacentral:rRNA from 1 species